rnacentral:scRNA from 1 species
GGCUGGUCCGAAGGUAGUGAGUUAUCUCAAUUGAUUGUUCACAGUCAGUUACAGAUCGACUCC